AAUUUGUUAAAUAAAUCUUAUCAAUGAAGGAUACUAAUGAGAAAGUAUCAAGCAGAUUGUCACAGUACAGCAGCCAUUUUUAAAAAUGGUUGAAAUAAAAAUGGAUGUUUGCUACGAAAUUUAUCAGAAUAAAAAGCUAAAUGAAAUGUGUAUACUUAAAAACUAAUAGCCUUAGGAAUGACAAUAAAUACGAUAGAAUGGAUUGGAAAAUAAAUACUUUGGAAAUGUUGUUAAUACAUAACCUCUAAACAUAUUUCAACUGGACCAUACUACUCUUCUAUCUGGAUGGAUUACUGAAAUUUACACCAAAAAUGAAACAAGAAUAUUUCAAGACUUCGAAAAAUUAGAGGAGAAAAAUGAUUAUUCAUUCCCUGAUAUUAUUCUCGCGUAAACUGUAUAGA